GAUGAACGCUGGCGGCGUGCUUAACACAUGCAAGUCGAACGGACAGGCGCUGCUUUUGCGGCUCUCUCGAGUGGCGAACGGGUGUGUAACACGUGUGUAACCUCCCCUUGUCUGUGUGAUAACUUCAGGGAACUGGGGCUAAUACCGGAUAGGAUCUCUUGCAGCGUGUUGUUGAAUGGAAAGUGUCGGCUGUUGGGGAUGGACUAGCGGCUUAUCAGCCUGUUAGUGGGGUAGUGGCUUACCAAGGGUGUGACGGGUAGCCGGCGUGAGCGGGUGACCGGGGACAAGGGGACUGAGGGACGCACCAGUCUGCAACGGUAGGCAGAAGGGGGGAACAUGGCACAAUGGGCGGAAGCGAGAUGUAGAAACGCCGCGAGCGUAAUGCCCGCUUUCGGGUUAUAAACCGCUGUGGCCUGUAACGAAGAGUGAGUGACGGUAAUGGGUAAAGAAGCACCGGCUAACUACGUG
rnacentral:rRNA from 1 species